rnacentral:rRNA from 1 species
AUUGAACGCUGGCGGCAGGCCUAACACAUGCAAGUCGAACGAGUGGCGGACGGGUGAGUAAUGUCUGGGAAACUGCCCGAUGGAGGGGGAUAACUACUGGAAAAGGUAGCUACUACCGCAUACCAUCGGAUGUGCCCAGAUGGGAUUAGCUAGUAGGUGGGGUAACGGCUCACCUAGGCGACGAUCCCUAGCUGGUCUGAGAGGAUGACCAGCCACACUGGAACUGAGACAAGGUCCAGAUUCCUACGGUAGGCAGCAGGGGGGAAUAUUGCACAAUGGGCGCAAGCCUGAUGCAGCCAGGCCGCGUGGAUGAAGAAGGCCUUCGGGUUGUAAAGUAUUUUCAGCGUGGAGGCGUUACUCGCAGAAGAAGCACCGGCUAACUCCGUGCCAGCAGCCGCGGUAAUAC